GGGAGCGGAUGCCGGCGCCCUCCAGCUGCGCGCCCGGGCUGUUAGGCCUCGGGGGCCUCGGCACAAUGCGGGGGGAAGCGGGGAGGACCGCAGGUACUGCUCCAGGGAUAUUUCCUAGCCGUCCCCCCUUCCCCCGCCUCCGCCGCCGCCGUGGCCGCUGAUGCUACAAGUGCCGCAUUUUGUGGAACACGGCUGAGCAUGGGCUCCCCUCCUCGGGUACCAGGCGAAGUCCUCCGCGGAGGCUUGUGCAAACCUGGUGGCCCUGACGCUGGGUCCAGUACUGAGGGUGUGGAGGAGGCGCCAGACCCUGAGACCACGGGGAGAUGCUCGGGAGGAGGGCGGCUCCCUUUGGGGGCGGUGCAGCAGAAGUCAGAGCUGGGCCCAGAGCCGCGUCUGGUGAAGCCAGCAGGCACUGCAGCUGGGGACGCUGGUGCCGAGCGCACCCAUCGCGGGACGAAGACAGAGGACGGAAGAGGUUUGCAAGCCGGGCUCGGGGAGGCCAGGCCCUGUUUUCAAGUUCAUGGGCUUUAGGCACUAAUUGCUUUUGACCUUUUUAGCUCAGCAGUUUCCUUUUUUUUUUUUUUUAAGGAAAAUAAAAUGCACAUAACAUAAAAUGUACCACUUAAA